AACAAUAUAUAUACAUAAACAACUAAAAGUAAAUAAAUUAAUAAAAUAAUAAAAAAAAAAAUUAAUAAAAGGGGUGAAGGUCGCAGACCUUCACCCGUAAGCUAAAAGAAAAAAAAAUAAACAAAAGCAGACCUUCUCCUCACUUCACCACCUCCGGUCAGCCACCUCCGGCGGCAUUCCGGCGACUUUUCCGGCCAGUAAAGGUGCUCCAACUUUGAGACCUACACUCACACUUCACUUGAGAAGGAUUUAAGGUCCAAGGGAGGUUUUUGAACAAAUUCAAGAGAAGCUUUUGUUAAAUUGAUUUGGUAGAAUUACCAAGCUUCAAGGUUAGGGAAUUGGCGUGACGUGUACUUUGCUUUCUUGGUGAGGAUUGCGUGGUUACUUCGAGGUGAGACAGGAUCUAGUGCACAGGCUGCGGAUCAGCAGGAGGACGCGUGACGGAGGUGGCCUGGACUUUUGUGGUUAUGUGACACUUGCGUGUGAACUUAUAUAUAUGUAUGGUGUGAUGUUGAUAUGUUUUAGUAAUUUAUGUACAUUGAUGUAUGGUGUUGAUUUUGUUGGCCGGAAGUGGUGGCUGUAGGGUGUGUUUGAUGAUGAUGAUGGGAUAUGUGUUUGAUGGUGGACCUACGGGUCGGUGGAUGUUGAUGAUUUUAGA